UGGGGAAUUUUGGACAAUGGGCGAAAGCCUGAUCCAGCAAUGCCGCGUGUGUGAAGAAGGCCUUCGGGUUGUAAAGCACUUUUGUCCGGAAAGAAAUCCUUGGCUCUAAUACAGUCGGGGGAUGACGGUACCGGAAGAAUAAGCACCGGCUAACUACGUGCCAGCAGCCGCGGUAAUACGUAGGGUGCAAGCGUUAAUCGGAAUUACUGGGCGUAAAGCGUGCGCAGGCGGUUUGCUAAGACCGAUGUGAAAUCCCCGGGCUCAACCUGGGAACUGCAUUGGUGACUGGCAGGCUAGAGUAUGGCAGAGGGGGGUAGAAUUCCACGUGUAGCAGUGAAAUGCGUAGAGAUGUGGAGGAAUACCGAUGGCGAAGGCAGCCCCCUGGGCCAAUACUGACGCUCAUGCACGAAAGCGUGGGGAGCAAACAGGAUUAGAUACCCUGGUAGUCCACGCCCUAAACGAUGUCAACUAGUUGUUGGGGAUUCAUUUCCUUAGUAACGUAGCUAACGCGUGAAGUUAACCGCCUGGGGAGUACGGUCGCAAGAUUAAAACUCAAAUGAAUUGACGGGGUCAUA
rnacentral:rRNA from 1 species